GACGAACGCUGGCGGCGUGCCUAAUACAUGCAAGUCGAACGCUUCUUUUUCCACCGGAGCUUGCUCCACCGGAAAAAGAGAAGUGGCGAACGGGUGAGUAACACGUGGGUAACCUGCCCAUCAGAAGGGGAUAACACUUGGAAACAGGUGCUAAUACCGUAUAACAAUCAAAACCGCAUGGUUUUGAUUUGAAAGGCGCUUUCGGGUGUCGCUGAUGGAUGGACCCGCGGUGCAUUAGCUAGUUGGUGAGGUAACGGCUCACCAAGGCCACGAUGCAUAGCCGACCUGAGAGGGUGAUCGGCCACAUUGGGACUGAGACACGGCCCAAACUCCUACGGGAGGCAGCAGAAGGGAAUCUUCGGCAAUGGACGAAAGUCUGACCGAGCAACGCCGCGUGAGUGAAGAAGGUUUUCGGAUCGUAAAACUCUGUUGUUAGAGAAGAACAAGGAUGAGAGUAACUGUUCAUCCCUUGACGGUAUCUAACCAGAAAGCCACGGCUAACUACGUGCCAGCAGCCGCCGUAA
rnacentral:rRNA from 1 species